rnacentral:rRNA from 1 species
AAAUGCGCAGAUACCGGAAGGAACGCCAAUAGCGAAAGCAGCUACCUGGACGAUAUGUGACGCUGAGGCGCGAAAGCGUGGGGAGCAAACCGGAUUAGAUACCCGGGUAGUCCACGCCCUAAACGAUGAGUGCUGGGUGUCCGACAGCUGUUGGGUGCCGAAGCUAACGCGUUAAGCACUCCACCUGGGAAGUACGGUCGCAAGACUGAAACUCAAAGGAAUUGACGGGGGCCCGCACAAGCGGUGGAGCAUGUGGUUUAAUUCGAAGCAACGCGCAGAACCUUACCAGGUCUUGACAUGUACGGAACCCGGAUGAAAGUUCGGGGUGCCUGCGAGGGAGCCGUAACACAGGUGCUGCAUGGUCGUCGUCAGCUCGUGUCGUGAGAUGUUGGGUUAAGUCCCGCAACGAGCGCAACCCUUGUUGCUAGUUGCCAGCGGUUCGGCCGGGCACUCUAGCGAGACUGCCUACGAAAGUAGGAGGAAGGCGGGGAUGACGUCUGAUCCGCAUGGCCCUUACGACCUGGGCGACACACGUGCUACAAUGCCGCGCACAAAGCGACGCUACUUGGUAACAAGACGCCAAUCGCCGAAAACGCGGCUCAGUUCGGAUUGGGGUCUGCAACUCGACCCCAUGAAGCUGGAAUCGCUAGUAAUCGCGGAUCAGCCAUGCCGCGGUGAAUACGUUCCCGGGCCUUGUACACACCGCCCGUCAAGCCAUGGGAGUGGGUUUUGCCUGAAGUCGCCGGGAGCUUGCGCCGUCACUGGCGCGGCAGGCGCCUAGGGUAAGGCUCAUGACUGGG